rnacentral:rRNA from 1 species
AACGAACGCUGGCGGCAUGCCUAACACAUGCAAGUCGAACGAGACCUUCGGGUCUAGUGGCGCACGGGUGCGUAACGCGUGGGAACCUUCCCUUAGGUUCGGAAUAACUCCCCGAAAGGGGUGCUAAUACCGGAUAAUGUCUUCGGACCAAAGAUUUAUCGCCUUUGGAUGGGCCCGCGUUGGAUUAGCUAGUUGUUAGGGUAAAAGCCUAGCAAGGCGACGAUCCAUAGCUGGUCUGAGAGGAUGAUCAGCCACACUGGGACUGAGACACGGCCAAGACUCUUACGGGAGGCAGCAGUGGGGAAUAUUGGAAAAUGGGCGAAAGCCUGAUGCAGCAAUGCCGCGUGAGUGAUGAAGGCCUUAGGGUUGUAAAGCUCUUUUACCCGGGAUGAUAAUGACAGUACCGGGAGAAUAAGCUCCGGCUAACUAAGUG